UGUUUGUUACAUGUGGGAAAAAAGAGCGGAAGUUCUCCUUGUGAAACUGAUGUGGUGUGGGCAGUAAUGGUACUGAUGUAUGCUUUCUGGCCUUUACCCUGUUGCCCAACAGUUAGAGGGUCCAGUGGGGAUAAACAGGGGAGACCAACUCCCCAGUUUCUUCCCUCACCUCAUAAACUUCUUGUGUCCAGCUGUGAACUGUGUAAUGGGCUUUUGUGAGUGCAGUUUGGCUGUGUCAGGAGCCCUGUUCAGCUUGGCCACCAAGACUAGCAGGACCAGCAAACUCUUGGGGAAGGAGUAGGGAGGUAAGCCAGCUUUUUUUUUUUUUUUUUUUUCUUUUUCCCCUUGAGCUUGAGAAGAAGACCCGGUCAGCAAUAAGGUUUUUAAAAGCCAUCACAGGUGCCAUCUUAAAAUAAAACCACUUGUUUUACUCAAAAUUGCUACAGGAAAAUAGUGCCAAAUGGAAUUCUGAAAUCUGUUAACUCAGUAAUGGUGAACUCUCCAACAGCCCAACAAAAACAGCUGCUGCCAUCAAAGCAGCUUGUAGAAUUCUUCCAUGUCUGUCAAAGGACCCCGUUUUUAUAUUUGUAAGUUCUGUUGCUGCUUCUAAUAGCUACUGGUUUUUCUUGUAUGUUAGCUAUAUGUUAUUUUUUUCUGUAGCUAUGGAAAAACAUGUAAUAGCUGUAUGUUAGUUUUUCUUCCUGUGUAACUGAUGGUGUAGGUUUGCCUUUAAUCAGAGGAGGCAAGCAGUGAAAUCAGGACAAGAAAAUGAAUGCAACAGUCUGAGAAAUGCAUGGUGCUUUGUGAAUGUUUUCUACAAAACAGGUUGUUUACAUUGAGGUUAGAUUCUGUAUGUCUGGUAUUUCUGGGAAUGAUCCAGCAAUACCCUGGUUAUACUGCUUGCUCUCCUGAACCCUAGCUCCCCUGGUUUCUCUUAGUGUAUAAUACCUGAAGCACGCUUAGAAACUGCUGCUUUUGUGUGUUAUAGUGCUCAGUUUCUUCAUUCAGCAAACUUCUCAAGUGCUGCUUUCUUAUAGUUCUGAAGAGAUUAAAGAAACCUGUUCUUUCCUCCUUUUGACUCCUGGGGAAUUACAGAAUAGCAUAAGUGUACUACUACGUGUUCCAUUGCGGGAUGAACAUGAGGGGACUGGGGAUCUUUCACUGGUCACUGUGGAAGGCUGGCUGUUCACAAAUCCCUUUUUCCCUGUAGCUUAUGGAAAAACACAGUGUGAUAGAUAGCUAAAUUGGCGUCAUCUUGUCUGCUUCAGAGGCUGUUUGGGAGCAAUGAAUUGGAAGCAUUUUUUUCAUUAAAUUAUGUCUUCUUUCCAUCAAAGGAGAGAUACUUAGGUCUCCUUGUUUCCUCUUACUGAGUACUUCUUAUCUAAAAAAACACUUUCAGUGGUAGUUGCACUUUCUGCUCAUUCCCCCCUUCUGUGUCUCUCCCAGUAUGUAACUUCCAUAGCUCAUUUAACGUGAUCAAAAGAGAGAGUGAAAAACAGAAGAGUGAAAAAUAGGAUAGGUAAGAAGGGAGCAUGACAACAGCCUCGUCUCGUGUUUUGCUGUGCCCGAGUUGAGUCAAAUUGGCAUUUCCCUAAUCUCAGAUACUUUGGUCUCUCUGAGGUGCAAACUUCAUGCUUCCAUCAGCACACUGGUGCAAGAAGCUGCAGGGGCCAACCUACAAGGGAAGAUCCCACAUGGGUAUUUGAGAUGCAAAACAUUUAACUGCUUGUAACAAGGUAAAAAAGCAGAAGUCUGAAAUGAGACCACAGUCUUGCAUAGAAUACCUGUGCCAUGGAAGGACUAAGACUUCUAGGUGCUUAAACACUUUUUUUUUAUCCUUGGGCUUUCAAAAGUACUUAAUUUCUAUUGAAUCAAGUUAUAAAUAAAUAAAAGCCCCACCCAUGCAUUUGCCAGAGGGCUGAUCUUCAUUUGUUUUAGGCAGAACCAGUAGAGAAGGUCAAAAAGAAAGUGUAAAGAAGCCAGGUUAGGAGUGUGUUUCUUAACGGGGAGACUGGAUGCCAGACUGGGUGGACUGGUGUGUCCGUGAAUGAGAGAAAGCUGUGGUGCACUACGAAGAGACUCCUGCAUGUGUACAGCCAGCUGAGGGAGGCUGUCCUACACCACUGUGUCUGCCAGCCUGUGGGGGCAUCGGCAAAGUCUGUCCAUUCGUGUUUGGGGAAGGAUGAACGUUUUAUUUCUAAUGCUGACCUCCGGUUUCAAUGAGAUGUGCCAGUUUUCCCUCCGUACAGGUACUCAAUUAAGACAGGGGCAGGUGGUUUUCCUAAUGCCAAGAGUCAUGUUCCAGAGCCUUUGUGCAGCUGAGCGGCGCAAUCUGCACACCAGGAGGAGCAAGAACACCAGCAGAACAAGGACUGGUUCCACAGCCACAUUUAUGAAGCAGAAAUUUCCCAUGUGGAAUUUGGAUCAAAGUUGUAGUGAGGGACCCAGAACACUAUCAAUGGUUCCUUAUGGUCACAGACAGCCUGCAUGGCCCAAGUCUGACCCUUACACUCCUAAGACUGAAGCAGACAUCAGUAAAGCCAGAAGAAAAUACCAACCUGGAAGAAACACCGCAAGACCAGACACAAACAGACAUCCCAAAUUUUUGUUGUGUCACAGGCAAAUGACAGACACGAGGCUACACGUUUUGGUUUUUUGAUAAUUUUUUUUGCUUCUGUUUUGGAAAAAAUAUACAAAAAAAGCCAAGAAGAACCAACAUGGAAAUGUGAGGUAAACAUUCCAGUAAAAGUACAGACAGAGGCUCCAUUCUUUAAAGGAGACACACAGCAGUUAUCACCAUGCUAGAAGAAUGAGAUGCAGGAAAAUCCUAGAAACAGUGAAAAGUCAUGUAAUGAAGCCUUUGCCCCAGUUCUAGCCAUUGUAAAUGGGCUCUUUUUCGUUCUUCCCCCCACCCCCCCCCACCCACACUUAAUUGUCUUUUUAAUCCUUAAACAAAGUUGUUAAAUUGUAAAAUAGCAGUUUUGAUAUAAAUUCUGUAUGGCAGAAUUUACAAAAAUGCAGACUGCUA